GAUGAACGCUGGCGGCGUGCUUAAUACAUGCAAGUCGAACGGAGACGUUAUAGCAAUAUGAUGUCUUAGUGGCGAACGGGUGAGUAACGCGUUGGUGACCUGCCCCGAAGUGCGGGAUAACAGCUCGAAAGGGCUGCUAAUACCUCAUGUGGUCCUAAGGGUUAGAGACCUCAGGACUAAAGGAGCAAUUCGCUUCGGGAGGGGCCUGCGUUCCAUCAGCUAGUUGGUAGGGUAAUAGCCUACCAAGGCGACGACGGGUAGGGGACCUGAGAGGGGGACCCCCCGCACUGGAACUGGAAGCCGGGCCAGACGCCUACGGGUGGCAGCAGUAGGGAAUAUUGCACAAUGGGCGAAAGCCUGAUGCAGCAAGGCCGCGUGCGCGAUGAAGGCCUUCGGGUCGUAAAGCGCUUUUCGGGGAGAUGAGGAAGGACAGUAUCCCCGGAAUAAGGCUCGGCUAACUACGUGCCAGCAGCCGCCGCCGUAA
rnacentral:rRNA from 1 species